GCAGUCGAGCGGCAGCGGGUCCUUCGGGAUGCCGGCGAGCGGCGGACGGGUGAGUAAUGCCUAGGAAUCUGCCUGGUAGUGGGGGAUAACUCGGGGAAACUCGAGCUAAUACCGCAUACGUCCUACGGGAGAAAGUGGGGGAUCUUCGGACCUCACGCUAUCAGAUGAGCCUAGGUCGGAUUAGCUAGUUGGUGAGGUAAAGGCUCACCAAGGCGACGAUCCGUAACUGGUCUGAGAGGAUGAUCAGUCACACUGGAACUGAGACACGGUCCAGACUCCUACGGGAGGCAGCAGUGGGGAAUAUUGGACAAUGGGCGAAAGCCUGAUCCAGCCAUGCCGCGUGUGUGAAGAAGGUCUUCGGAUUGUAAAGCACUUUAAGUUGGGAGGAAGGGCAGUAAGUUAAUACCUUGCUGUUUUGACGUUACCAACAGAAUAAGCACCGGCUAACUUCGUGCCAGCAGCCGCGGUAAUACGAAGGGUGCAAGCGUUAAUCGGAAUUACUGGGCGUAAAGCGCGCGUAGGUGGUUCAGCAAGUUGGAGGUGAAAUC
rnacentral:rRNA from 1 species